rnacentral:rRNA from 1 species
GUGGGGAAUUUUGGGCAAUUGGCGCAAGCCUGAUCCAGCCAUUCCGCGUGCAGGAUGAAGGCCUUCGGGUUGUAAACUGCUUUUGUACGGAACGAAAAGCCUCUGGUUAAUACCCGGGGGUCAUGACGGUACCGUAAGAAUAAGCACCGGCUAACUACGUGCCAGCAGCCGCGGUAAUACGUAGGGUGCGAGCGUUAAUCGGAAUUACUGGGCGUAAAGCGUGCGCAGGCGGUGAUGUAAGACAGUUGUGAAAUCCCCGGGCUCAACCUGGGAACUGCAUCUGUGACUGCAUUGCUGGAGUGCGGCAGAGGGGGAUGGAAUUCCGCGUGUAGCAGUGAAAUGCGUAGAUAUGCGGAGGAACACCGAUGGCGAAGGCAAUCCCCUGGGCCUGCACUGACGCUCAUGUACGAAAGCGUGGGGAGCAAACAGGAUUAGAAACCCGGGUAGUCC